AGGACUGUAGUUAAGUAUAACAUUUGGUUUGCAUCCAAAAAGUAUUGAAAAUCAAUCUGUCUUA
rnacentral:tRNA from 1 species